GGCGGACGGGUGAGUAAUGCCUAGGAAUCUGCCUGGUAGUGGGGGACAACGUUUCGAAAGGGACGCUAAUACCGCAUACGUCCUACGGGAGAAAGCAGGGGACCUUCGGGCCUUGCGCUAUCAGAUGAGCCUAGGUCGGAUUAGCUAGUUGGUGAGGUAAUGGCUCACCAAGGCGACGAUCCGUAACUGGUCUGAGAGGAUGAUCAGUCACACUGGAACUGAGACACGGUCCAGACUCCUACGGGAGGCAGCAGUGGGGAAUAUUGGACAAUGGGCGAAAGCCUGAUCCAGCCAUGCCGCGUGUGUGAAGAAGGUCUUCGGAUUGUAAAGCACUUUAAGUUGGGAGGAAGGGCAUUAACCUAAUACGUUAGUGUUUUGACGUUACCGACAGAAUAAGCACCGGCUAACUCUGUGCCAGCAGCCGCGGUAAUACAGAGGGUGCAAGCGUUAAUCGGAAUUACUGGGCGUAAAGCGCGCGUAGGUGGUUUGUUAAGUUGGAUGUGAAAGCCCCGGGCUCAACCUGGGAACUGCAUCCAAAACUGGCAAGCUAGAGUACGGUAGAGGGUGGUGGAAUUUCCUGUGUAGCGGUGAAAUGCGUAGAUAUAGGAAGGAACACCAGUGGCGAAGGCGACCACCUGGACUGAUACUGACACUGAGGUGCGAAAGCGUGGGGAGCAAACAGGAUUAGAUACCCUGGUAGUCCACGCCGUANACGAUGUCAACUAGCCGUUGGAAUCCUUGAGAUUUUAGUGGCGCAGCUAACGCAUUAAGUUGACCGCCUGGGGAGUACGGCCGCAAGGUUAAAACUCAAAUGAAUUGACGGGGGCCCGCACAA
rnacentral:rRNA from 1 species